GCCAUGUUCCGCACAGCGUGCGUCGCACGGUUUUUGAUCGCACUUGGUUCCAGUCCAAUCGUCGUUGCACCUAAAAAUCACACACCUUUCAGAGACAAGUCAAAAUCGGCUUUUGAAGGCUCAACAUACAAUUCAAGACCAAUGUUCCGUAGGCGUCCUGCACAAUUUCUGAAGAAAAAUGCGCUCAGCUUUAUCGUCCAAAUGCAAAAUUGAUUUCCUCCGCGCGGAACCCUUCAGGAAAGCGGGAAAAAGACACGGAUUCCGGCAAGUUCCGAACUCGUCCUGCCGUGGUGGGAAACUUUUUGCGCUUACGGACGCUCUUUCAUGGGACAAGAGAGGAGAGGGAGACGAGAAAGGCGUCAACUUUAGAAUAUGAGAAAGGAGAUCUUCUUUCGUGUCCUUGAUUCUGACAAAGGAACGUCGGGAAGGUAUAUUUUAAGUAAAGAGUAGAUGGAUCUGAAUUAAUCAGACUGUUGUGAAAGUUGGCGUUUCGUGGAACAGGAUCCCGAAGACGGGAAUGUGGGAAUAAAGAAAAUAGCUUGAUCGGAGGAAGAAAGAAAUAUUGUAAUCUCGAUUAAGGUUCUAUGUAAAAAAAUAAAAUAACGUAGCAAGUUGCUAAAAUUCUGUUAUAUAAAUUAAUGAACGAAAGAUCAGCAACGUUUAUAAUAUUCAUUUUCCAUGCAAACAUUAACUCACGUAAACUCAUUUAAAAUUCUAUUUCUAAGAAUUAGAAAUUACCUAGGAAUGAUUUUAAUAUGAGCCCUCUAACCCUCGCAAAAUUCCCCUUGCCAAAUACCCGAAAAGUUACACGAUAUGUAACCGAAAUCGCGAU